AAAAGGUGAUCUCCUGGCUAGAGAUAUCAAAUCUGUGGUCUAAAGGGAAAAACAAUGAAGACAUUGAUUUAUUCUUUAUUCAUGUUCUUGUGGCUGCAUCUUAGCUGUGUGAGCCGAGGAGAGAAGGUGGAGCAGAGUCCUACUACCCUGAGUGUCCAGGAGGGAGACAGUGCUGUUAUCAACUGUACUUAUUCAGACAGUGCUGCGGUCUACUUUCCUUGGUAUAAGCAAGAGGCUGGAAAAGGUCUACAGCACAUUAUAGACAUUCGUUCAAAUAAGGAGAUGAAUCAAAUCCAAAGAUUCAUUGUUGUGUUGAAUAAGAGAGCCAAACACUUCUUCCUGAACAUCACCACCACCCAAGCUGGAGACUCAGCUGUGUACUUCUGUGCAGCCAGUGCACGGUGCUUCCCAGACACCUGCAGCCUGUACUCAAACCUGCCACUGGGCUGA